rnacentral:rRNA from 1 species
GAUGAACGCUAGCUACAGGCUUAACACAUGCAAGUCGAGGGGCAUCAGGAAGAAAGCUUGCUUUCUUUGCUGGCGACCGGCGCACGGGUGAGUAACACGUAUCCAACCUGCCGAUGACUCGGGGGAUAGCCUUUCGAAAGAAAGAUUAAUACCCGAUGGUAUAUCUGAAAGGCAUCUUUCAGCUAUUAAAGAAUUUCGGUCAUUGAUGGGGAUGCGUUCCAUUAGGUUGUUGGCGGGGUAACGGCCCACCAAGCCAUCGAUGGAUAGGGGUUCUGAGAGGAAGGUCCCCCCA